rnacentral:snRNA from 1 species
UGAAGAUCAGCAUGUCCCCUGUGCAAGGAUGACAUGCAAAUUCGUGAAGGGUUCGUAUUUUUU